GUGUAUUGAAAACCCCGGUGGUCACGGAUUGGCUCGCGUCCCAUUAGGUAGACGGCGGGGUAACGGCCCACCGUGCCGACGAUGGGUAGGGGUUCUGAGAGGAAGGUCCCCCACAAUGGAACUGAGACACGGUCCAUACUCCUACGGGAGGCAGCAGUGAGGAAUAUUGGUCAAUGGGCGGAAGCCUGAACCAGCCAUGCCGCGUGCGGGACGACGGCCCUACGGGUUGUAAACCGCUUUUGUGUGUGAGCAAUAAGGGCAUUUAGUACGUCCGAUGAGAGUAGCAUACGAAUAAGCAUCGGCUAACUCCGUGCCAGCAGCCGCGGUAAUACGGAGGAUGCGAGCGUUAUCCGGAUUCAUUGGGUUUAAAGGGUGCGUAGGCUGUGCGUUAAGUCAGGGGUGAAAUACCGGCGCUCAACGUCGGGGCUGCCCUUGAUACUGGCGUGCUGGAGUGCGGAUGCCGCCGGAGGAAUGAGUGGUGUAGCGGUGAAAUGCUUAGAUAUCACUCAGAACACCGAUUGCGAAGGCAUCUGGCGAAUCCGCUACUGACGCUGAGGCACGAAAGCGUGGGGAUAGAACA
rnacentral:rRNA from 1 species